rnacentral:snRNA from 1 species
AUACUGCCUGGCAGGGGAGAUACCAUGAUCACAAUGGUUUUCCCAGGUCGUCAAUGCACUCAGGAUGGGCCGACCCCAGUGAUUUCCCCAAAUGUGCAAACUCAACUGCAUGAUUUGUGGUGGUGGGACUGUUCGUGUUCUCCCUG